GACCAUCCACAGCACUGAAUGGUGGAGUUUGAUCUUUUUCUCCUUCUUGCAAAGAAAGGCUGACAUCUCAGCAGAGCUGGUUUUGGUUUCUGCUCCUCAUGGCUUCUGUGUGCCGCUUGAAGCUCAGCUCAGAAAUCUGGAAGAUGUUUAAAAACAAACAGAGCUCUGAAAAACCUGAAAGAAUACCAUGAAGUCCAAACAUCUCCAUUGAUUGGCUGCUUCAGUGGUCCUCAUGAACAGCUUAAGUGUGUUAAACCUUAAAUUCUGGGCCUCAAUCUCCUACUGAGAGACAUAGGAGCUGUGGCCUGGAGCUGUGGUUCCCAGCUGUUCCCACCCAGGAAUGAGUGCACACAGAUCAGAGCAGCUUGAGAGAGCCCUGAGAAGCCACUUGAGAUGCACACAUCAGAGACACCUCCACGGGGAAGAACUCAGUAACUAAGAUUAAACGAGCUGGGGGCUUGCUUUAAACAACCUUAGGUAUAGGUUAUUUUUGUGUGUGUGUUUUUUCCUCCUCCUUUUCUUUCGGGUUAUUAUUAUUCCCAGUGAGAAGAGUCCCUUCAUUCUGAUAGAAUGUAACUGCUGAGCAUAAGCUGUGUUUAUAUCCAUCAUUCCAGGAAAGUAAACAAAACAGAAGGGGUAGAAUUAUGAAUGAAGACUUGAUUAAGAAGUGACAGCAAAGAUCUGUGAUAAUAAAGGGCUGAAUAGCACUUGUUUGGAUGUGUGCCAGUUACUUGCAAUUAAUUUCACUAGCUAGCGAGCAGGAUGCCUGCUGGAUGGUAGUCAGAGCAGGCUUGUUCUGCCCAUGUUGGUAGAAAAUGGAUGAGCAGAGACAACAUCAGAAGCAGUAUGUUUUGUCUGUAAAGCAGCAGACAAGUGACAGAGCAGGACAGCACAGCCUUGGUGUAAUGACUCCCCAGCCUCUUGCUGUGAUCACAAGUCCAUCCUGCAGCCUGCUUAAAUAAAGCCAAAUGACCUUAGAUCAAACCUCUGG
rnacentral:lncRNA from 7 species